rnacentral:lncRNA from 1 species
AUCUGACCGGGGUACUCGACCUCUUUGCUCGGAUUCCACUUUGAAGGAAUUGAUAAUUUGAAUCCAUCCCCAGUGUAUGCUAGGAAGUCAGUGUUUGUCUUCGGCUUUCCAAACACAUUGGCUGCAAGCAAAGUCAGAGAUCAAAAUCAUUGUUAUGAUAAUGGAAACUUGACAAAUUAAACUGGUGUUUUAAGAGAAUCAUUGUUUGUCAACACCAUUCUUUCAAUAUCCAAUGAUCACUCAAUUCUGUUUCAUGUUACAAAAGAGUAGAAUUCACAAUAUUCAAAGGCAUACUAUGUCAUUUCAGUUCAAAGUAAAGCAAUUUCAAGUUCAUUUGGGGUACUCAGAGAAUUUACAUGGCACUAAGGAUCAUAAUCAUACAAGAGACUAGGCUUUCAAGUUCAUUUGGGAUUAAUUUGAAUAGACUAUUAACUAUUCUUUGAUGCAAAAUACUCUAUCAGUCUAUCAAUAUAAAGUAUCUUACACUAUCAACUACUCCCUUUCAUCAAUCAGAUGUAGAAACCAAUUAACAUCAUAGACUUGUAACAACAUUAAAAUACAUGAUCAGAUACUUACAUCUAUCAAAGUUAAAAUCAGAAAAUGGGCAAUAGAUAUAUACCAGCUUCUCCAUAGGCAGCAUCAGCAGGAGAGACCUUAGAUGCAACAGCAGCAGCACCAAUGAGAACAGUUAGAGCCAACCUACGAGACACUGAGACAGAAGCAUCAUCAUGUGACUGCUUCUGAGCUUUGCAUACAACUUGGUUUGGCUUU